UGGAGAUCGAGGCUGUGGGCAUUUUCCAAAUUAUUUUAAGAUCACAUUCAGGUUCAGUUGUGACAAUAUUUCGUCUUGAUACGGGCAAGCUGUGUAUUACCUGUAAACGGGCAACAAGCACCGUCACCUUCGCGCGAAGAAUGCGAACAAGUACCCAUGAUCAUUUGGUUUGUUUCGCUUACAUAGCUCACGACCCGUUGCCGUUACAACAGAUUACAAAUUCAUAACUCAUAGUUUUUGAGUUAUUUAUAAGCAAGCAGUAAAAUUGCAGUUUUGCGUGACCCCUAACUAUAGGUUCGCGAAUGUACAUCUGGACAUCAGACUAUGUAAGCCGGCUCUGCCCUGGGGACACGGAACUAAAAAGCUAGUGGAGAAGGUUGGAAACGGCAUAGCAACUUCCACUGGCCAGAAACGGGCGGACGAGGUUUUUAAGCAGCGACUAUCCAUCCAAAUACAGCGUGGAAAUGCAGUUUCAUGAAUAUAUGAGGCCCGUGAAACGUUCUGGGUUGCACGAAAACUUACGGACCCUGGGACCCAGGUUCGAAGGCUGGAGCUACGAAAUCGUUAUCUUGAUUGUAGCCAGGCGCGUUUUGUCAGUUUCCCCCUUCCGGCGUGUUCGGCGGCUGCUCCAACGUUCGCAUUGCACAAAGCGGAUUCCAGAACAACAUUUCCGGCAUUUGGACGGCCUUUGAUUGACCGAUACAUUCAGGAUAUUAACGGCGAUAACUCCGGGUCGGCUUUGAUUCCUCCAUAGCGUCUUCAUGCUGCGUCCAUGCUUCGCAAGGGUGGCGGCUACCUUUCUGGUCCCAUCUGCAUUACCAAAAGAAUAACAGUUGCAGCGCGUUCUGGGUGGACAGUCCGCACGCGUGGCACGAUGUCGACAUGACAACGGUGGAUCUCGGACAACUCAGCACACUGGCA